rnacentral:rRNA from 1 species
UACGGGGGGGGCAAGCGUUGUUCGGAAUUACUGGGCGUAAAGGGCUCGUAGGUGGCCAACUAAGUCACACGUGAAAUCCCUCGGCUUAACCGGGGAACUGCGUGUGAUACUGGAUGGCUUGAGAUUGGGAGAGGGAUGCGGAACUCCAGGUGUAGCGGUGUAAUGCGUAGAUAUCUGGAGGAACACCGGUGGCGAAGGCGGCAUCCUGGACCAACACUGACGCUGAGGAGCGAAAGCCAGGGGAGCAAACGGG